CCCACGUUUUCCCCCACUUUUUUGGCCGUAGACCACACGUAACAGUCCGUACGUUCGGUUGGGACCUACAUGUAGGCUUAAGGGGGAUGAUGUGGAAUAUUACAGUGUAUCUUCAUGAAAAAUCUAAGAGUACUUAUGACGUACACAUCUUAUGUAAUUGUUCUAUGAAUGUCUUAGGUAUGUUGCUUCCCAAAAUAUUCAAAAAUGAAAGACACAAUAAGGCAGAAUAUAAUAAUUUUAGUUUGUACACAGAUGUUACAAUAACCUAAUUAGAAUAGAAUAGAAUAGAGAGAGAGAGACAGAGAGACAGAGAGGGGUCGUGAGAGGGAGAAGUUUUAGAUUGGGAUUGAGCCAAGCUAUUUUUGACAUAGAAAACCAGCACACACUUCCUCUCCUUCAAUGUUGAUAGUUACCACAGAAGCAACCUGUGGAUAUUAAAUCACAUAAGUUUUAAGUCACACACAAAUGUAUAGCCUCUGAUGUGCCUGCAUUCAGAAUGGCGCUAUAUAUAUACGUUACGCAUCUGUCAAAAAUACAAUGUUUAUUCAUUUAUUGAUCAGGAAGUGGAUAUAAUACACAAUGCACAGUUUUCUUUGUUUUAUUCAAUUAGCAACCUGAUUCAUAAAAUGUUCGCAGAUAAAUGGAUCCAUUGAAAUAAAUAGCGCUGUUACUAUGGAUACACCGCGUCCGCCGUGGGUCACUGGUUAACGUCGACGUUUUAGAAGUAAUUUCGCUGAUCUUUUUUGUCGGAAAUUAUUAUAACCGUGCAAAUUAGAAACCAGAAUCAAUGAAAUAACCAACAUCCAUUUCCAUCUUUACUUAAAAAUGAAUCUGCGAUAAUGGAUAAAAAACAUUUUUCGGUAAAUUGCACGUAUCUUUAGUCGGGAACCGUGCGAAUAGUUUACAUAAGUUUGCGGAUCCACGUGGAAUAUCUCAGGACCCGUCUUAAAACAAAUAAAAUUAAAUAAAAACAAGGAAAACUGUAUUCGAGUUCGGCAGUUGGGAUAAAUAUACCGAAGAACGUCGAUACUUUUCGUUUAUGACCAAAAUGAAACUCGUAAAGAACACUUUUGAAGGGGAGCAAAAUGUGCACCAAAGUUAAAGAAAUUUGCCGUGCUUUUCUUAGAUCAGUUCGCCGUUUAUUUAUCUAUUUACAUAUAUUUAUUAUGAUUUUGAUAAAAGGAGAAAAAGGCACUCAUUUUAAAAUUAUAUGUAUGUUAUUUUUUAUUGACACAGGGAUUAUCACGAUUUCCUCCUAAUAUUAGGCAGAUGUAAUGUUCUGAUUAGAAUACAAAAGACAGAAAAUGCUAGUCACGAAUUGGUCAGACGAAUCGUUUACAGUUUAUUACUAACAUUACCACGGUCAAGGGUUAUUGUCGGAAACGAAAAGGAUUUUUUAUUACUGGUAUAUGCAGACUGAAUUGUGAUAACUGUAGAGGAUGCACUUGGCAGACGAGGAUUAAAGGGUUUUCUCCACUACAAUUAACGUAGUCAAAACCUCAGAUUUACAAUUGAUAAACUUGCACAGUACGCGACGUAUGCUAUCAGAUGAAAAAAGCUUACCGGCUAAGUCGUCUUCUACGGUAUUUAAGCUAGCGUGUCUCUGGAAAAACGACUUCAGGAAGCAAACAAAACAAAGGGAUAUACUCGCCAGCAGGGCUGCUAACAAAUCAACAAUGGCCAUGGCUGUCACUAUACCUCCUAUUGCUGGUUAUACAAGCGAUAACAGCACAAGUCUCUUCAGUGCUUGUUCAUCGGCCGCUAUUUUCCCGCCACUGGCUUGUGGGGACAAUACGCU